rnacentral:lncRNA from 10 species
AGAGAGCCUCGGCUAGGUGUGGAAACAGGAAGAGAACUAGAACUGGAAGUAAAGCAUUGAAGAUGUGACUGAAUUGCUGCAAUCUCAUGAUCAAAUUUGAAUGGAUGAGGAGUUGCUUUUUAGGGAUGAGCAAAGAAAGUGGUUUCUCGAGAUGGAAUCUACUGGUGAAGUUGCUGUGAACAUUGUUAAAAUGCCAAUAAAGGAUUUAGGAAUUACAGAAACCUGGUUGAUAAAGCAGUGCCAGGGUGUGAGAGAGUUGACUUCAAUUUUGAAAUAAGUUCCACUGGCUGGGUGUGGUGGCUCACACCUGCAAUCCCAGUACUUUAGGAGGCCGAGACUGGUAGAUCAUUUGAGGUCAGGAGUUCAAGACCAGCCUUGCCAACAUGGUGAAACCCCACCUCUACCAAAUUAGCCAGGUGUGGUGCACACCUGUAGUCCCAGCUACUUGGGAAGCUGAGGCAGGAGAAUCUCUUGAACCAGGGAGGAGGAGGUUGCAGUAAGCCGAGAUGGCGCCCCUGCACUCCAGCCUGGGUGACAGAGUGAGACCUUGCGUUUAAAAAAAAAAAAAAAGGAAAAGGAAAAAAAAGUUCUACUGUGGGUAAAAUGCUAUCAUGCUAUCAAACAGCAUCACAUGCUACAGAGAAGUCUUGUGAAAGGAUGUCAGUGUGGCAAACUUCAUUGUCUUUUAAGAAAUUGCCACAGCUAUCGUAAUCUUCAACCACCACCACCCUGAUGAGUCAGUAGCCAUCGUUAACGUUGGCGUAAGACCCUCCACCAGCAAAAAGAUUGUUAGCAUUUUUUUAGCAGUGAUGUAUUUAUCAAUUAUACAUAAUGCUAUUGUACACUUCUUAAUAGACUAUGGUAUAGUGUAACCAUAAUUUAUGCACUGGGAAACCAACAAAUUCAUGAGAUUCGCUUUAUUGUAGUGCUCUGGAAUUGAGCCUGCCGUGUUUCUGAGGUAUACCUGUGUAUUUAGUAUGUUCCUUGUAUAUAAAACCCCAUUUUAUAGGGUAGGAAACUAAGGCUUAGAGUUUGAGCAAUUUUCCCAUAGAUAACACCAAUAAAUUGAGGGCUGCAGAGACCACUUAAGUGGUUCUCUUAACAGUAGUCUAGACAUGACGUAAUGAGAUUUGGCUUAGGAGUGACAAUGGUAAGGAAGUUAAAGGAUUCAGGAACCAAAUACCAGUUAUUGAGAAGAAAGAAUGGCCUCAAAACAUCACUUCUCAAGGAAGCCUUGAUACCCUCACCCUUACUACACUGUAUCCUCCAUUUGAAUGUUGUCAAGAGCUCUUCUCACAAUUGUAAAUAAUAAUUGUGUAAUUUUGUUUUUUUUUUCCUACUUUAGGUUGCUCCUUGAGGGCAGGACAGUUCUUAUGGCUUUAUCCGUUGCGUAAGCACAGAGAGGUCUGCGAGGUCAAAACUAUUGUCAUGAUAGCAAGAUGCCUGUCUUUUUCAUUUAUUCUCACGGUGUGCAGAGGCUACAUGAUGUGUGAUGACAUCCUCAUUGAUGUUAAUGAAUGGUGCUAUACUUGAAUUUUCUAAGGUGUCAUUAGCAAUUCUCCUGCCUCAGCCUCCUGCAUAACUGGGACUACAGGUGUGUACCACUGUACCCGGCUAAUUUUUGUAUUUUUAGUAGAGAUGGGGUUUCACCAUGUUGGCCAGGGUGGUCUUGAACUCCUGACCUCAGGUGAUCCACCUUGGCCUCCCAAAGUGCUAGGAUUACAGGUUUAAGCCACUGUGCCCGGCCAAUGAUAUUUUAGGUAGUAUACAGUAAAAUGGGCCAACAUUUGGGAGAUUGACAUAACUCAGUGAAGCUAUAUUUUCCUAAUGACUAAUACGUGAGAUUAUAGAAAACUGCUAGUAACAUUGUAACCAAUUGAAUGCAAAAGAAACAAUUCAGUUGUCUUCUAUUUAAGUCAGACAUUUAGGGAAACAAUUGCCAAAAUGUAAAACAAUGCACCUAUUUUUUUAAAAAUAUGCAUUUGUUGCUAUAAUAUUUAAAUAUUUUACUUUCUAAUAUGGUAAGAUACUAGUAAAGUGAUUUGGGGCCCUCAAUCUUUAAGAAUGUGAAGGGAUUCUCUGAGGCCACAAAGUUUAAGAAAUGGCUACUCUAGCACAAACGCACAUAGUAAAUACUCAAGUACCUGUUGAAUGACUUCAUGGAGUUAAAGUGACUCCUGGUAUUAAAUCUGUAUGGCUGGGAUAAUGGGCAUGCUAGGACAGGAAGCAGAUUUCCUUAACUUCACCACUGUAACUCAUUAACAAACAUGUUAGCCUGAGACAGAAGUAUUAAGGGGCGACAGGAAAGCCUUUCAUAAGCAAUGUGAUGCUUUUUUUCACAUUAUUCAACAUGGUUUAAAAUUUGGUAUACAGG